rnacentral:lncRNA from 1 species
CAGGAACAAAGCAAAUAUACAGCAAAAACAGUGUAAAAAGAAAUUGAAAAUAUGGCAUAUUCGGGUAUAAAAGCCCCAGGCCAAAUGAUUGUUUCUCAGAAAAUAUCAAUUAAAUACAAAACAAUAGCAGACAUUCAAGUAAAAAAUUGAAACUUUUCGAAUACAAAGAAAAUAGAUAAAACACUUAAAGAUUGGAGGUGAUUUACGAUUCAUAUUUUUUUCUUUCUUUUUUUCUUACUUUGAAGGUACUUUAUCAUUAAAACAAAUAAAGAAGAGACUCCAAAGACACUUACCUGCGGCUUCGAUUGUCGGAGGCCAUCCUCCGGCUUGGAUAUCUAACCAAAAGGGUGUAAAGGGGUCUCCUCUUGUUUUUACGCGACUUGGGUCGUGAACCACGGCAGAGGUGGAGGCGUGAACGCCGAUGAUACCCAUGAGUAGCCCAAAAGUGACGGCUAAGGUUUGGUCUUUGAGUUUGGUUGAGAGAAAAUCAAAAUGGGGUUAGGGAUUUGUUUUAAUCUUCGCAGGAAAGGGUAAAUGAACAUUCAAAUGUUUUUUUUUUAGUUUUAAUAACAAAUGAAACAGCACCACAGACCCCAGGGGCUGCAUGUUUAUGCUUUUGGGACAAAUUAUGAAAAUAGUCCCUCCUUCUUUCUGGUCUUUCAAAUCGGCUAGUUGUUACUUUUUUUAAAUUUCGCCUAAAAUAUUAUUUCAAUUACAUUUUGGUACUUGUUAGAGCAGCACCGUUUUGAUGGUAUGGGAAUAUUCCCAUUGCGGUCCGUCCACUUUCGUGCGAAUUUCAUUUUGGUCCCUUUUCAAUGUUACCAUUAGAUUUAUUGCGAUUUUGCACCUCUAAUUUUUGUCUUGGUCUUAACCCAGUCCUUUGUUUAGCUCAUUUUAUUGUUUAUUCAUUUAAUUUGUCUAUUUUCUUCAUGUCAUAAUUACCUAAGCUAAUACUAUCAUUAUUUUAUGUCCAUUGUUUAUUUUUUAGAAUACCUAAGUUGUAUAUAUAUAUUUACUAAUUUUUUUCCUUUCCUGUUUCUUUAUUUAUUCUUUCAUUUAACUUCGUAUAUUUUUAUAUAUUUUUUACUUAUAUUUUACUUUAAUAUUUUUAUAUAUUAUGUAUCUUAAAUCCCUUUUUACAUUAUCUAUUUUAAAUCGUUUAUAUAUUAUCUUAAAUGAUUUCAUAAAUUAUUUAUUUUAAAUUGUUUUAUAUAUUAUUUCAUUUUGAAUUAUUUUGUAUACUAAUUUGUUUUCAAUUAUUUUAUAUGAUUUACUUUAAAUUGCUUUUAUAGUAUCUAUUCUAUUUUAUUUCUAUCAUUUUAGAAUUUUUUUUUUAUAUUUUAUUUUAAAUUGUUUUAUAUUAUUUAUAUUAUUUUUUUAUUGUUAAUGUUAAUACUUAAAUAAUGUAUGUGGUGUGAUUAUUGUCAUUGUGUAUCAUAUCUCGGUUAUUCAUAUUUUCACGUCAUUGUCAUUCACUUGUAUAAUGUUGUAUCCAUAUACUAUUGUUCCAUGAUCGUUAUUAUACUUUUAUUUCAUGUCAUCACAUCGUGAAUUAAGCUCCAACGUUUUUAUUCAAUAUAGAUUGCCUCGUUUUACUCUAAACAAAAUUAACGCACAUCGUUAAGUGUUGUGCUCGUUAUUAUUCAAAAAGAAAAAUCUUCAAAAAUAAAGGCAAUAUUCUGUUUUUUGGAGUUUCAAAAGAUUGUGCCCUACGUGUUGGGUUUCGAUUUUUUCGUUUGACCCAAAUGACUGAAUAACCUUUUAAAAUUUCAAUGCAUGAGUUUUGGAAAUCAUGAGAUGAUUUUGGUAUCGAAGGUUUGAAAUGUUAUGUCCUACGUGCUGGAUGUGAUAUUUUAUUUCUUUGAAACAAGAGAAUGAUAAUAUCCAUUUCAAGUUACCCAAACAUUCAUAAAAAGGGAUCGUAUUUUAAAUUUUAUUUUAAAAUCUUUUCAACUCUCGAUGUUGAGACAUUAAUUAAUCGAUUAAGCACCAAAUUUGGGCGUGACGAGGGUGCUAACCCUUCCUCGCAACUUAACCGACUCCCGAACUCGCUUUCUCAAUUUUCGUAGACCAAAAUCGUUGUUUUAGUAAAUCAAAAUGUUUUAUUAAAAUGACCAAAUAUCUAGGUGAUCCGAUCACACCUAAAUAAAAAGGAUUGGUGGCGACUCCCAUUUUUCAUUUUUGCUUUCAAAACCAAGGUCGAUCCCCGUUUUUCAAAAAAAUGGUCUCGACAGCUUGGUGACUCCAUUGGGGACUUUGAGAGUCGAGCCAUAAAUUGAUUAAUUUUUGUCCUUUGUCGAAAAUUGAAAAUUCAUUUUAAACUUACGAUCCCUUCAUUGUAUUUCAUCUAUUAUCUUUGUGGUUUAUGUCAUAAUACCUGCUUCGCUGGUUCGAGUCUUUAAAUAGUUUUGCAUAUGGCAUUGCAUGACCGCACGGCUACACCCUUUUAAGUGGGAGUGAGAAGCUAUUCCUUCGUGAGGUUUUCACCCCCGUGUAGGAUAGUGGAUCGCUUUCGGGAUACAUCUGUACCUAUGUCUUCGUGAGAUUUUCAUCUCCGUGCAGCCAUAGGGAAAUGUAUUCCCUUGAACUGAACUCGGUCCAUAUGAACCUAUAAUGGGUGAGGAUUGAGGAAUAUGCUGGUUCAGGUACCCUUACUCUAGAACCGAACCACAUAUAAUGAGGCCUAAGAGCCUAUUCUAGGUAGAGCCUCACCAAACCCUAGUGAUUACCCGAAUAGGUGCUUGAUUGUUUCUUGUUUGCUUGGAGUUCUAUUACAUGAUACUGACUCGCUGUAUUUUGCUAUUAUUGCACGGCAUCUCAUCAUAAAAAAGGUGUUGAUUCCCGUUCGAUUACUAAAUAGAAAAGCUUAGCAUGGAAAAAGGGUUUCUUGAUAAAGUGGAGGAUAAUGCGACGGUCCGAGCAUGGUCCGAGAGGACGCAACAAGAGAAAGGCGAUAGUUUGACCGAAAGGUAUGAAUUGGAAUUGUGGGAUUUUACUCGCAUCGGUGUAAUUCAAAGUGACCUACAAGAACUAAAAGAGAUAUGGGGUCAAUAGAAUGACAAGGUCAAGCAACUCUUUUACCGUAAUUACGGUGACCUACUCUAUUUGCUCGAUAUAAAGGUGGACAAGCAUUUGUUUUGAGCCCUCGUAUAGUUUUGGAAUCCCACCUACAGUUGCUUCACCUUUGGAAGGGUCAAUUUGGUACCUACUGUAGAAGAAUACAUGGCUUUACUUCGUAGUCCAAAGAUUCAGGUCGUUAAAGCAUAUUCAAGAGCUACUAAUGACACAGCCUUCAUAAAAAAUUUAGUGAGUAUCACGGGGAUGAGUGAACAGUAGGUUGCAAAUCGAAUUAAGCAGAAAGGAGACAGUAAGUGUAUUCGUUGGAAGAACUUGAGAGAUCUAGUUCUAGCGCAUCCGGAUAUGAAGAAGAGGGUUGACAUUUUUGCUUUGAGCAUCUACGGUUUGGUUGUCUUUCCCAAGGCAUUAAGACAUGUAGAUGAAGCAGUCUCAGACUUUUUUGAUCGACUUGAUAAAGGGGUCACACCCGUCCCGGUAAUCCUAGCGGAAACUUUCAGAUCCUUGAAUGCAUAUCGAAUGGCAGGUGAAGGAAGAUUCAUAGGGUGUGCGCAGUUAUUAUUGGCUUGGUUCCACAACCACUUUUGGAAAGUGGACAAGGUCUCCUAUUGAGUUUUCUCCGAGAACUAUUCUCCAUUGAAGGAAUAAGUGGCUACGCCAAGGAGAGAUGACCUUUCCCAAGAGAAAUGGAUAGCGAUUCUCUAGAAUUUACAAGCCGAAGAUGUUGAAUAGAGGGCCCCAUGGGUGAUCUCUAAUGAGAUCUUAUAUCGUUGUGGUGACUUUGACUGGGUCUCUCUACUGGGGAUAUGGGAAGCUGUUGGGUAUGCUCCACUACUUGUGUUAAGACAGUACCGAUCAAGGCAGUUCAUACCGACGACACAAGGGUUGGCUUAAUGUGAAUUAUCUUAUAAAGAUGACAAUUAUAGGAAAAAAGGUUCGUGAGAUGUCAAAUGCUUGGAAACAAACCCGAAGAAUGAAAGGAUUCGCUGCAGGUCCAAUGACUACCCCUGAGUAUGACUAGUGGUGGGGCAAAAGGAUCAACGACAACAUCUCAAUGUCAAGUCAAGAAGACGCUCGACCAAUAGAAAAGCAUUUACAAGUAGUCCCGUUCGAGUUAGAGAUCAUCAAGCAAGAUUUUGAGAAAAAGAGCUCGGAAUUGGGAAAAAAGAUAGAGCAAUUAGAGGAGGAAAAGAUGCGGUUAGGAUUAGACGUAGACAUCCAUAAGCUAGAGGCUGAGAAGCUAAGAAUAGGGAAGAAUAAAGCCGAAGAUGAUUUGGGUAGUUUAAAGACUGAUUAUAAGAAGCUGUGUAUAUCGAUAAGAAUUGCCAGUUUGGGUAAAACAUUGGAACAGUGGCGUCAAGAAAUUGAAAAAGAAAAGACUAGAGUCGAUCAUUGGGAGAAGAAGUUUCAAGAUGUCCAAGUGCGAGAAGAUGCUUUGAAAAAUAGUUUAUUGGAAAGCCAAAGCGAAAAAAAGAGGUUACAAGCUCGGGUAGCCGAAUUAGAAAAAUUGCUACAUCUGCAUCGUAGCCGUAACUCCGUAAUUGAGUUAAAGACCAGCCUAAGCAAAAUCGAAGAGUUGAAAGGGAAAAUUUAGGAACUCGAGACGGCACUACAAGGUAGCAAAAGUCGAGUGGAAUUCCUUGAGGCAAACAAUGAACAUUGCAAAGAACAACUUCACCACUCUCAAGAUCAAAUUAGAAAUAGAGAUUAUGUCAUGGGCGAAGCUGUGGCUCAAGUUCGAGAGGUAGCCGAUCAUUUGCAAACCUUGGCAGUUCAGGCUGAUGUAUUGAGCUUAAAGUACGAAUCAAAAUUAGAACGAGGCCGAAACUUAGCUUGACUUCUUAGGAAAGUUAAGACUUUGGGUAUUAGGGCAAAGUCGUAUAUGUAAUUAUCCGUUCUAUGUAAAGAAAUUUUGCUUCUAGCAAAGUUGUUCUAAUGAAAUUGAAUCAGAAUCAAUACCUUUUUUGCAUUCAUUCAUUUGCACUACAUUUCAUCAUAUGCAUUAAAUUUCACAAAAAGACCCUAAUUAAACAAAAUUAUUUCAGUUAAUCUGGAAACCAACAAGAGAUAACCAAACGAAUACCGCUACAAUACCUGCCAUAAAACUAAGGAAAUGGAUCAGAGGUUAGAGAGACUAGAGUAAAUGCAAAGGGAUAUGCAAGAGCAACUGCAAGCACAGAUGCAAGAGCAGUUAGCUAAGAUACAACAAGAGAUGAAUGAACAAAUGCAAGAGUCUUAAAAUAAUAUGUUAAGCCAAUUGACACAGCUACUGGUCAGAGAACGCGAGAAAGGAAAGAACUGUGAACGAAAAUGAGGAUCCUAUCUACCCCCCGGGCUUUACCCCAAUCAAUGUCCAGACACUACCAAAGCUGUACCCACGAAGUCUACCCGUUACUAUCAGGCCUCAACAGCAUCAAACUGAUAUUUCAGCACUGAUAAACUAUCAAACAGGCUCGGGUUCCAAUCUUGGGGAUAACCCAAUCAAUCCCAUCAUUCCUGAUCUCGAUAAUGUGGCAGAGGUAAAGAAAACAAGAGUGAACCGCCAAAACAACUGGAUGAUCGAUACCGAUGGCUGGAAGAAAAACUCAAAGCAAUGGAGAACACUGAUUACCAUUGUAGAAUAGAUGCCAAUGACCUAAGUUUGGUCCCAGAUUUAGUACUCCCCCCUAAGUUCAAAAUCCCAGAUUUUGAAAAAUACAAUAGAAUUAGCUGUCCAGAAGCUCACAUCACCAUGUUCUGUCGAAGGAUGGCAGGGUACGUCCAUAAUGAUCAACUGUUGAUCCACUACUUCCAAGACAGUUUGGUCGGGUCUGCGGCCAAAUGGUACAACCAACUAAGCUGCGCUCAAAUCCAUUCAUGGAAAGACUUGGCGCAAGCUUUCAUGAAGCAAUACGGCUACGUGACAGACAUAGCACCCGACUAAAUCACGUUACAAAACAUGGAGAAGAAGUAAAAUGAAAGCUUCAGGCAGUACGCCCAAAGAUGGAGAGAGGUGGCGACGCAAGUCCAACUACCUCUUCUCGAGAAAGAAACGACUAUGCUCUUUAUCAAUACUCUGAAGGCUCCAUUCAUCAACCACAUGUUGGGAGGCGCUACUGAGAGCUUUUCGGACAUAGUGAUGUCUGGAGAGAUGAUAGAAAACGCGAUAAGAUGCGGGAAGAUUGAAGUAGGGGAAAGUACCAAGAAAUCAGCCCCGAGAAGGAAAGAAAAUGAAGUGAAUAAUGCAAGUAUGUACAAUAAGGGUUAUUCCAAGUCGGUCAUCGUAAGCCAACCGAGGGCAGUGACUACUAGCCAUCAGGGCCCCGCAGGAUAAGAUUCAAACCUGAGACCUAACGCAGAAAGAGUCCAGUUUACGCCUAUCCCAAUGUCAUAUAGAGAGUUGUAUCAGAGUUUAUUCGAUGCUUAUGUAGUGUUGCCCUUCUACUUGAAGCCUAUGCAACCUCCGUUCCCGAAGUAGUAUGACUCUAAUGCCCAAUGUUAGUAUCACGCAGGGAUAACGGGGCAUUCAAUCGAAAACUGCACUGCGUUUAAAAAGUUGGUAGAAAGAUUUAUCAACAUGGGUAUCGUGAAAUUCGAUGACCCAUCAGGACCCAACGUAGCAGGAAAUCUAUUGCCCGAUUAUGCUAAUAAAGGGGUAAAUGCAAUAGUUGAGAGUGGGAGCAAAAUGAUCAAGACCGACAUGGCAGAAGUAAAAACCCUAUUGAGUUGGGUUUGGAAACAAAUGAUCGAUAGAGGUUUGAUUACACAACAUUCAGGGGAAAGGCCUAGAGAAGUGGAAAAAUACUGCGAGUUUCAUGCUGACGAGAGCCAUAACAUUCAAGAGUGCAAUGAGUUCAAGUCCAUGGUGCAAAAUCUGAUGAAUAAUAAGGAGAUAAAAUUUUAAGAAGAAAUUAAAGGAUCAGAAGAAGGAGAGGUUUACGUCUCAGAAGAGGGAACAAUAAAAGGGGUCUAAAGAGUUAAUCACUCUAUAGUGAUCAUUUCGCGACCUAGGAAUAAUGAAGCAGGAAUAAAAAUGGCGUCGAGGAUCAUAAUUCAGAAACAUGUAUCAUUUCCUUACAAGGAUAGCAAAAGGGUUCCCUGGAACUAUGAUUGCAACGUGGAAAUCCCGGGGGAAGAGAAUCCGGCUAAUACUUCAGGGGAUAGCCAAGAUGUAGGUUUCUAUACAUGCAGUGGGAGACGUUAUGAUCCUUCGGGUACAAGAACCAAAAUUGUCAAAGAAAAUACCCUAAUAGACGAGAGAAGGAAGGAGAAGACAAUCAGACCUGAAUCACCAGUCAACGAGCUGGUGACUGAAAAGAAGGCUAAAGAAUUUUUAAAGUUCUUAAAGCACAUCGAAUAUAGCGUUGUAGAACAGCUACAUAAGCAGUCGACUCGUAUCUCAGUGCUAGCCUUACUUUUGAGCUUGGAGACACAUCAGAGCGCGUUAAUGAAGGUGCUAAACGAAACCUAUGUCGCGGAUGAUAUCUCUAUAACAAGCUGGACUGUCUCGUCAAUAAUAUAAGCGUCGAUAAUUUCAUAUUUUUUAAUGACGAUGAAAUACCACCGGGGGGAAUGGGGUCAACAAAGGCGCUACACAUCACCACCCGCUGUAAAGGAUAUACACUACCGGGAGUAUUGAUUGACAAUGGGUCUGCACUAAAUGUCCUACCCCUAUCCACACUGAAUAGGUUACCAGUGGAUAGUUCCCACAUGAAGACGUGCCAAAAUAUAGUAAGGGCAUUUGACACCACCGAAAGAAAGGUAAUGGGAAGGAUUGAAAUACCCCUUUUGAUAGGUCCAAACACGUACGAGGUGGAUUUCUUAGUAAUGGGCAUCAAACCUUCUUACAAUUGCUUAUUGGGGAGGCCCUGGAUUCACUCAGCAGGGGCAGUACCGUCAACGCUGCAUCAAAAGCUCAAAUUGGUAACGGAAGGCCGAUUGGUGACUAUAAACGCAGAAGAAGAUAUUAUUGCAUCCGUUACCAGUGACGCACCUUAUGUGGGGACAGAUGAUGAAGCAAUAGAAUGCUCUUUCUGAUCAUUAGAAUUUGUGAAUGCGACCUUCAUCAUCGAAGGGAACAAGGUCCCGGUGCCUAAAAUCUCUAAAACUACAAGGAUGGGCUUACAACUGACAGUUAGGAAAGGAGCUUUGCUCGGAAAGGGGCUUGAAAGAAGCCUACAAGAAAGGAUCGAGGCACCCAUGCUUACGAAAAAUGAGACCGUUUUAGCUUAGGGUACAAGCCAGAUGCAAGACAGAAGAAGAAGGAGAUAGAGAAGAAAUAAGAGAGGAGAAUAGUACGUUUAAGUGGGGAAGAGGUCAAAUGAGAGCCAAUGACCUUUCCUCAUAUAUCCAGAACAUUCGUGUCGGGGGCGACCAUUUACUCUGAAGGAAAAUUGACAAGGAAAGGGUUUGCUUUGAGCAUUAACGCCAUAUCCGAGGAAGAGACGAGAGAAGAGGAUCAAUUAAGUAUUUGCCCAUAUGUGCCUGGGAGCGUUUUGAACAAUUGGAUCAUGGAGAAGAUCCCUAUAACUUUUAAAAUUAAUUUAGAGUAAUGUCCAAAACAAGCUUAUUGCUCUAAUCCUAGGGGCAAUAAGAAUCCUUUUGUGAAAUAGGCUCUUAUCCAAUAUCGUUAUUCAAUAAAAAAUGUAUAUUUGCGUAUCAUCUUGAGCAAAUAUUCUUUUAUUCUUUCUAUUUCAUUCAUAACCAUACCACCAAUAAAUAUUCUUAGAUUUUUUUGUUCUUUGGACUUUUCUUCAUCCUUGUGAUAGGUCUCCAGAUAUCAAUGAUACGAGUAACGCUGCUGCUGACUCAGAGUCUUCUUUUGAGCAAGAUAUGUAUACGGAGGGUUCUCAGGACUUUAAAGAUGACAGAAGCUAUAACAUAUCUCUUGAUUUGUUAAGGAUGGUAGAACAAGAUGAGAAACAAAUCUUACCUCACAAGGAGUCAGUGGAAAUUGUGAGCUUAGGAGAGGGAAGAGAGGUGAAGAUUGAAGCUUGUAUCGCCGCAAAGAUAAAGCGAGACCUCAUUGAGUUGCUACAAGAAUUCAAGGAUGUCUUCGCAUGGUCAUAUCAAGACAUGCCCGGGUUGAAUACUGAUAUAGUGGUACACGACUCCCCAUAAAAGAAGAGUGCAAGCCAGUUCAACAGAAACUCCGAAGGAUGAGACCCGAUAUUCUGUUAAAGAUAAAAGAAGAGGUUAAGAAACAAUUCGAUACCGGCUUUUUAAAAGUAGUUAAGUACUCAGAAUGGGUAGCCAAUAUAGUCCCCGUUCCUAAGAAAGAUGGGAAAAUACGAAUGUGUGUAGACUAUUGGAAUAUGAAAAAAGCCAGCUCAAAAGAUAAUUUCCUGUUACCUCACAUUGACACAUUAGUGGAUAACACAGUAAGUUACUCACUUUUCUCUUUAAUGGAUGACUCGGGAUACAACCAGAUAAAGAUGCAUCGUGAAGAUAUGAAAAAGACCAUAUUCGUGACCAUGUGGGGAAAUUUUUGUUAUAAGGUGAUGCCAUUCGGACUGAAAACGUAUGAGCAAUAUAUCAGAAAGCCAUGGUAACCCUGUUUCAUGAUAUGAUGCACAAGGAGAUCAAAGUUUACGUCGACAGUAUAAUUGCAAAAUCCAGAAUGAAAAAUGAGCACAUAGAAAUCUUAAGAAAACUAUUCUUAAGAUUAAGAAAGUUCCAGCUAAAGCUCAAUCUAGCAAAAAGUACCUUCGGUGCCAGGUCAGGAAAGCUAUUAGGAUUCGUAGUCAGUGAAAAGGGGAUUGAAAUUGACCCAGAUAAAGUCAAGGCCAUACAAGAAUUACCUCUGCCACGCACUUAAAAAGAAGUUCGAGGAUUCCUAGGAAGAUUAAAUUAUAUCGCCUGGUUCAUUUUACAACUAACAGAGAAAUGUGACCCAAUAUUCCGUCUCUUUAGGAAACACAACCCAGGUGUAUGGGAUGGGGAGUGCCAGAAAACUUUUGAUAAAGUCAAGCAUUACCUGUUCAAUGCCCAAGUGCUGAUGCCACCUUGCCCAGAUAAGCCACUGAUACUGUAGUUGGCAGUGUUCGAAAACUCCAUGGGAUGUGUGUUAGGCCAACACGAUGAGUCAGGAAAAAAAGAAAAAGCGAUAUACUAUCUGAGUAAAAAAUUCACUGAAUGUGAGACAAGAUAUUCACCGAUCGAGAAAUUAUGUUGUGCCUUGAUUUGGACAACCCGAAGACUGAGACAGUACAUGUUGUACCACACGACUUGGCUCAUCUCAAAACUAAACCUCUUGAAGUACAUGAUGGAGUCAAAUGCUUUGAACGGAAGAAUGGCUCGUUGGCAAAUUUUACUUUCUGCAUUUGACAUAAUCUCCGUGAACCAGAAGGCUAUAAAAGGGAGUGCAAUAGCAGAUUUUUUGGCCAGUAGGGCUCUAGAAGAUUAUGAGACUUUGAGCUUUGAGUUCCCAAAUGAAGAUUUAAUGUAUGUUGCAACCACGGAAGAAGACUCUCAAGAAUAUCAUCCUUGGAGACUGAAUUUUGACGGAGCCUCAAAUGCUGUAGGUAAUGGAAUCGGGGCAGUUCUGGUAUCCUCAAAUGGAGAUCAUUAUCCCUUUACUAGUAAAUUGGAUUUUGAUUGCACAAAUAACAUGGCAGAGUAUGAAGCAUGCAUCAUGAGUAUCCGUGCAGCUAUUGAACGCAAAAUCAAGGUGCUAGAAGUAUAUGGGGAUUCUGCAUUAGUGAUCUAUCAACUCAAAGGUGAAUGGGAGACGAGAGACCCUAAGUUGAUCAAUUACCGAAAGCUAGUUUUGGAGUUAAUUGAGGAGUUUGAUGAUAUCACUUUUUGCUAUCUCCCAAGAGAUGAAAACCAGAUGGUUGAUGCCUUGGCAACUUUGGCUUCCAUGCUCAAAAUAAACAAGUAAGAGAAUGUUAAACCUAUCCAGAUGAGUAUCUAUGAAACUCUGGCUCACUGUUACAACAUUGAAGAAGAAGAAGAAGAAAAAGACGAUCACCCUUGGUAUCAAGAUAUAUUGCGAUAUGUGAGGAAUCAUGAAUACCCAGACCAAGCGACUGAGAAUGAUAAGAGGACGUUGAGAAGACUGGAUAGUGGCUAUGUCUUAGAUGGAGAGAUCCUAUAUAAAAGAAGGAAUGAUCAGAUGCUCCUAUGAUGUGUGGAUGCUAUCGAGGCUAAGAAAAUCUUGGAAGAGGUCCAUGAAGGUGUUUACGGAACACAUACUAAUGGUUUCACAAUGGCCAAACAAAUCAUGAGAUUUGGAUAUUAUUGGUCUACUAUAGAAGGGGAUUGCAUCAACUACGCCAAAAAGUGCCAUAAGUGCCAAAUCUAUGGGGAUAAGAUUCAUGUACCGCCUUCAACUGUUUAUGUUAUGACUUCUCCAUGGCCUUUUCCAUGUGAGGCAUAGAUGUCAUCGGACCAAUCUCGCCGAAAGCGUCUAAUGAACAUUGUUUCAUCUUUUUGGUCAUUGAUUACUUCACCAAGUAGGUAGAGGCCACUUCUUAGGCCAACGUCACGAAAUCAGCAGUCAGCAAGUUCUUAAAGAAAUAUAUCAUAUGUCGAUAUGGGAUGCCUGAGAGGAUCAUAUUAGACAAUGCACUGAACUUGAACAAUAGCAUGAUAGCAGAGGUCUGCAGCCAAUUCAAAAUCAAACACCAUAACUCGUCACCAUAUCACCCAAAGAUGAAUGGUGCAGUGGUAGCGGCCAAUAAGAACAUCAGAAAGAUUGUGGGGAAAAUGACUGAGACUUACAAAGAUUAGCAUGAAAAAUUACCAUUUGCCCUCUAUGCCUACCGAACGUCAGUCAGAACCUCUACUGGGGCAACACCUUUUUCUUUGGUUUAUGGAAUUGAGGCGGUUCUGCCUAUUGAGGUUGAGAUUCCCUCUCUACGAGUUCUGUUAGAACUAAAAUUAGAUGAAGCAGAAUAGAUCCAGUCUCGAUAUGAUCAGCUGAACUUAAUUGAAGAAAAGAUGCUAAAGGCUAUUCGUCAUGGUCAAAUGUACCAAAAGCGAAUGAUGCGGGCUUAUAAUAAAAAGGUUCGUCCUAGAGAAUUCCAUGAAGGAGACAUUGUCUUGAAAAAGAUCCUCCCCAUACAAAAGGAUUUUAGAGGAAAAUAGAUGCCUAAUUAUGAGGGACCUUAUGUGGUGAAGAAGGCUUUCUCUGGAGGAGCUCUGAUUUUGACCGAGAUGGAUGGAAAAAGCUUGCCUAAUCCUGUGAAUUCAAAUUCAGUCAAGAGGUACUUUACCUAAAAAAAACGGAGAGGCCAAGGCGAAAACCCGUAAAAAGGGCACUUUGAGACCAAAGGGGUUUUGAGUUGAAAACCCAGGAAUGGGCAAUUCAAAUUUUGAUCAAAGAUAAGGCAUACAGUAGUCUUGUCUUCUUUGAAUUAACAAGAAGGAGGGAUACUACAUCUUGCGGUAUCAACAAAGUACUCUUGGUCUUCCAAACACAUACCAAGUUCAAAAGGUCCUCAAGAAGUUUUGUGCAGAGAAGCUCAUGCUACAAUAUCUAGGGCACCUAUUUUCAUCUCAUUCAUUUUGUAUUUUAGCAAAAUUUUCUAUUUUGAUUACUUGAUUCAUUUCGAGCAUUACUCUCAAUAAAAUUCCAUCUUGUCCAUUACGACAAUCUUUUUCGAGUGUUUUUCAUUGAAAUAAUGAUUAAUGGACUAAUGACAUUCAAAAAGAGUUCUGCAUAUUACUCUGGAAUGAUUCUAAAUGAUACAAGGACAUGAAACGGGACUAAUUAGUUAGAAUUACCCAAAUUCAAUGAAACAUUGGGAAAAUAAUAGCCCAUAUUGUGAUUAUUCUUCAAAAGAUACCAACUGAAGAAAAAGGAGAGAGUAAUACGUCAAUGAUAAAAUCUUGAUGAACAGCGAGUGAUCUCAAAUUAAGCAUUAAAAAAUGACAUUUUGCAUUCAUGCCAACAUCAUACACAUCUAGUUAGGAGCAUUUGAUUCAUUCAUGACAUCCUAAUCAUUUGGCAUAAGCCUAGGCUGAGAAAUCGAUUCUACAGGUCAUGUCCCUCGGAGGACGGUGUAGCAAGAUCGAUUGAAGCUACAAAUCAUAAGUCUUAUCUCCCUGAAGUUGCAGGGGAGCAGACUGAAGACAAUAUAUUUUAUCUCUCUGAAGUUGCAGUGGAGCAGGUCGAAGUUACGAACCUCAUCUCCCUGAAGUUACGGUAGAGUAGGUUAAAAUAGCAAGUCUUAUCUCUCCGAAGUUGCUGUGCAGCAGACUGAAGAUAGUAGAUCUUAUCUCCCUAAAGUUGUAGUGGAACAGGUUGAAGUUACAAACCUCAUCUCCCUGAAGUUGCGGUGGAGCAGGUUAAAAUAGCAAGUCUUAUCUCCCUGAAGUUGCGGUGAAGCAGACUGAAGAUAGUAGAUUUUAUUUCCCAGAAGUUGCAGUAGAGCAGAUCGAAGUUACAGACCUUAUCUCUCUGAAGUUGCGGUGGAGCAAGUUGAAGAUACAAAUCUUAUCUCCCUGAAGUUGUAGUGGAGCAGAAUGAAGAUAAUGAAUCUCAUCCCACUAGAGUUGCAGUGGAGCAUAUUGAAGCUACUUGAAGAAAAGAAGUGCCAAAAGAAGUCGAAGCUCAGCAGGUCUAGGCAAAAUUGGCCCUUUUAAAGUCUUUGCUCUAUUCUCGUUACACGACAACGAGCAAAGAAGGGUAGCUGUAAGAGGCCUAUUUUACCCGGCCCAUUAGAAACAAAAAAAAAAACAAAAUAACCAAAUAAAAUCCAAGUUUUUAACAGUCCAUACGAAGUCCAAAAUCAACCAACCCUAACCUAAGGCCCAAACGGCCCAAAAAACUAAAACAAAUUCAGCUGACCAGAAACCCUAGCCCCAUCUACUUUGUGCCGCGCCGCUCCUCACGUGGUGUCAGCACGUCUAACACCCGAGGAUUGCAAGCUUGCACCAAAGUGAAAAACCCCUGCAUUCGUUGACUCCUCGCAAGCCUGCAAACAAGUGAAAAAGAGACAAAGCAGGAACAAAACAAAUAUACAGCAAAAACAGUGUAAAAAGAAAUUGAAAAUAUGGCCUAUUCGGGUAUAAAAGCCCCAGGCCAAACGAUUGUUUCUCAGAAAAUAUCAAUCAAAUACAAAACAAUAGCAGAGAUUCAAGUAAAAAAUUGGAACUUUUCGAAUACAAAGAAAAUAGAGAAAACACUCAAAGAUUGGAGGUGAUUUACAAUUCAUAUUUUUUUCUUGCUUUGAAGGUACUUUAUCAUUAAAACAAAUAAAGAAGAGACUCC